rnacentral:lncRNA from 1 species
GAAAAACAGGUUGCUUAUCUUAUAAUUGUUUGACAGUUGCCUAUACAACAACCCGUACAAGGAAAGCCAGAACGGUAGCAUUUACAGUUACCAACACAUCUGGAUUUUUGACUCCGUAUUUCAAAAGUUCCAUACACGAGGAUGCAACGGCAGUCACAAUAGUCCAUUUCUGUUUGCAACUGUCAUUGAUUCUUUAUUUCAUCCCACCCUAGUGGUCAUGACUUGGUACAUGUACCUGUCUAAUACAUGAGUAAGGCAGAGCCCAAACAACUUCUUGAUUUACUUCUCUUUUGAUGUGCUCUGGAAAAGAACCUCUUGU